rnacentral:miRNA from 1 species
AUCCCGGGGCCGAGGGAGCC